GGGCCAUUAGCUCAGUUGGUUAGAUCACCCGGCUCAUAUCCAGUAUGUCUAGGGUUCGAGUCCCUGAUGGCCCUCCA
rnacentral:tRNA from 1 species